UGAGGCAGUCCCAUUUUGUGGAAGAUUUUGGGUUCUGCACUGUGUUURGCACAAGAUGGAACAGAGGAAGUUUCUGGUUCUGAAGCGCAGCCGUCYUUCAAACAUUUCUUCACACUCGAAUGGUUCAGCUCUGUGAUAUCCUGGACCUGGAGUGGCACUCCACAGAGCUGGUUGAUGCUGGAGAAGGACUCUGUUGCAGGAAGAUCCCUGUCAGUGGCUGGGCAUUCAGUUCUUCUUGAAAAACGAAAAUUUUGCUCUUUUGGAACGAUGGGCCUCAUUCCUAAGGGUCAUAAAUCAAGUCAAAGUAGCCUGGGGGAUUUAUACCAGAGAAUGAUCUGCACCACCAGGUAAAAUUAUUCCCGAAGGAAGAUUCUUGGUGUAAUUCCAAUGAAUUCACUGAAUAAAUGUGUCCCUUUAAUCAUAGAUGAAAUAAUCCUGCUUCCUCAUAUGCGAUGUCACCAGCUCRAAGAAAGAUUUCUAAUAUGCUCUUUCCUCUCUAUUCACUGCCUGAAUUAAAACUAAUAAGAUCCCUUCAGCUGAUUUCCUUCCCUUACCCAGACAAUAUUAUUACUUUGUUACUUUAUACUGCUUUUAAAAUGGGAAGUAAAUAUUUUGCUAGUAAAUAAAGAUUAGGCUGCUUCACGUACUUAAAAUCUUUACAAGAUUUUAU